AUUGAACGCUGGCGGCAUGCCUUACACAUGCAAGUCGAACGGCAGCACGGGUGCUUGCACCUGGUGGCGAGUGGCGAACGGGUGAGUAAUAUAUCGGAACGUACCUUAUCGUGGGGGAUAACGCAGCGAAAGCUGUGCUAAUACCGCAGAAGCCCUAAGGGGGAAAGCAGGGGACCGUAAGGCCUUGCGCGAUUAGAGCGGCCGAUACCUGAUUAGCUAGUUGGUGAGGUAAAGGCUCACAAAGGCAACGAUCAGUAGCUGGUCUGAGAGGACGAUCAGCCACACUGGGACUGGGACACGGCCCAGACUCCUACGGGAGGCAGCAGUGGGGAAUUUUGGACAAUGGGGGCAACCCUGAUCCAGCAAGGCCGCGUGAGUGAAGAAGGCCUUCGGGUUGUAAAGCUCUUUUGUCAGGGAAGAAACAGCAGCUCUAAUACAGUAUGCGAAUGACGGUACCUGAAGAAUAAGCACCGGCUAACUACGUGCCAGCAGCCGCCGUAA
rnacentral:rRNA from 1 species